rnacentral:rRNA from 1 species
UACGUAGGGGGCAAGCGUUGUCCGGAUUUAUUGGGCGUAAAGAGCGUGUAGGCGGCCAGGGAGGUCCGUUGUGAAAACUCGAGGCUCAACCUCGAGACGCCGAUGGAAACCCCCUGGCUAGAGUCCGGAAGAGGAGAAUGGAAUUCCUGGUGUAGCGGUGAAAUGCGCAGAUAUCAGGAAGAACACCCGUGGCUAACGCGGUUCUCUAGUACGGUACUGACGCUGAGACGCGAAAGCGUGGGGAGCGAACAGG